GCGGCUGCCCGCCCCGCGGCUCCUCCGGGCGCGCGCCGCGCUGCGCCGCGCCGCCGGGGGCGGACCCCAGCCGCUGGCCUCGCGGUCCCUUGGCCGGACUGUCCGAAGCCUGCAGCCUCCCGACCCGGACCUCCUCUUUUGGUUUUGAGACAGGGUCUCUCUGUGUAGACCAGGCUGGCCUUCUGCCCGGAAACCGUAAGGAGAGCCGCUUUGUAGGAAGUGCCCUUGCUCCGCAGGACAGAUCUGAGGAGACCUCUCAGGACGCCAGAUGAAGGAAGAAAUUUACGGAAAGGAAGAAAUGGCGUCCACAUUCACACUGUUAAGCUGAAGGAAAGAGCCUAACUCAGUAGCCCAGUCUGCCUUGAGCUCCCCCAGGGCUCAUCGUCCAAGUAACAUAAAGGCAAAAUUCUAAAAUUCUGUGCUGCCUUUGACACUUGCUACCUUACCUUACCUUGGUUUUUCACCUUGACUCCUGGCUGCUCCGAGAAUGGGGAGGUUGUCCUCUUCCUCUGAGACUGUCUGUUCUCAAAAACUGUCUCCUAACUACCAAUGCCCAGAGCUUCCUAUAUCAUAGGCUUUAAGCCUUGUUUAAAUGUCUCAUUUCUUAAGGGAGAGCUUCCAUAAAGAGCGUCUUUGGGACUGCAGUCUCCCCUCAGUCCCUGAACACUACUCUUAAGUUUUCUCCAGGUCACUCAUCACCACUUAAUGCCUUAGUAUUUCAUUUUAAUUUUCUUUGGUUUUUGUUUGUUUUGAGAGGGUCUGUAUGUAAGACCAAGCUGGCCUCAAACUCAUAGAGCUCCUCUUGCUUCUGCCUCCUGACUGCUGGGAUGAAAGGCUUAUCGCACUAUGCCUGGCUCUCUUGAUUUUCUUAACUCUUCUAUUUUCCCCAACAAAGAAUAAACUCUG
rnacentral:lncRNA from 1 species